CCUACGGGAGGCUGCAGUGGGGAAUAUUGGGCAAUGGGCGCAAGCCUGACCCAGCAAAGCCGCGUGAGGGAAGAAGGCUCUCGGGUUGUAAACUUCUUUGAAAGGGGGAGAGCAGAAGAGGGUACCCUGAAAACAAGCCACGGCUAACUACGUGCCAGCAGCCGCGGUAAUACGUAGGUGGCAAGCGUUGUCCGGAUUUACUGGGUGUAAAGGGCGUGUAGCCGGGAAUGCAAGUCAGCUGUGAAAUCCGGAGGCUCAACCUCCGAAUUGCGUUUGAAACUGGUGUUCUUGAGUACUGGAGAGGCAGACGGAAUGCCUGGUGUAGCGGUGAAAUGCGUAGAUAUAAGGAGGAACACCAGUGGCGAAGGCGGUCUGCUGGACAGCAACUGACGGUGAGGCGCGAAAGCGUGGGGAGCAAACAGGAUUAGAUACCCGAGUAGUC
rnacentral:rRNA from 1 species